AGGACAUGGGGGGUCGACAUUAAGCAACAAUGACUUUAAAGCAUCAAGUUUGAUACCAUAUCAUGCGAACGCCAACAAAUAAUUCAACACAGGCCAACAGGAUACUAUAGAACAUAACCAAGCAUUUCUCUAACCUACAACCAUUCUCAAACCAAUCUGAUAGCUAAGCAGAAGAAUCAGAUCACUUAAAGCUUCAGUCUCAUAUCAUAAUACCCCAUUCAUGACAAAUAUACUAAUCAAAUAUCUCUGGAGCUAAAUAUUACAUCCAUAGAUGAGACUGAAAGGAGAAGAAAUGAAAUUCAGUAACGAUAACGUCAGUUUAUCAUAUUUCCAAAUUCAAACUCCAUAUUACACUUUAGGUGAUGUCCAUAGCGCCAAAGAAAUACCUGGAAGUAAAGAUGAAAUGAAAGGGUGAGGAUUUCAGUAGUAACAACAACAGAAUUGAGUUCAGAUCCAAGGAAAUAGUGCCACAAAGCAGUUCCAAAUCGUGAAAUGCAACCCAGAAUACCAAAGAUCCAAUUUCGGAUUCACAGUUAAGCCAACAAACUCAACAUCCAAGAUAAAUGACUGACACUCAAACUGUUUCAAAAUCCAAAUAGUUAAGAAAUUGAUUAAAGGACAGAAAAGUUGCAGAUUAGCAAAUUCAAACUUAAUAGAACAGUGCUAAAGUUUUCAGCUGUUUUCAAAUUUUUUUUCCUUUUUUUCCGAUCCCCCCUGUAUCUAUGUGUGUUCCCAGUUAUAUACCUCAUCAUCUAGCCUUUUCCAGCUCCUCUUUUUUCUUUAAAAUUGUAUUCUUUCAGCUUUUGAAAAUAUCCCCCAUGUUAGCCUACUUUCCAACUCUAAAAAGGGCAUUAAGCUAACCAUUGUCAGUCUCCUUUUCAUUUUUAAUUCACUUCACUAAUUUAGUGCUUUUAAUUAAUUCAAUAAUGCAAUUUCUACCCUACCACUACUUCCUAGGUUAGGUAAACAAUCUUCUUUUAUUGAAUAAUUCCCACACUAACCCUUUAAGUUCAUAAUUAUUCAAUUAGAAUCUCUGAAAGUUAUAAAUAUUUACAUAAUGGCUAGGCAACAAAACCAAAGGGCAUUAGUUUCUGAAAUCUAAAUAGGUUUAGCAUUGAAACAGAUUCAGAAAUAACCCCUCAUAUGAACAAUCUGAAUUGACAUUAGCAAGAAACGACCAUUGAAGAGCCUAUUUGAGAUUCGACCUUUGACAUUUUUAACACAAUCAUCUUAACAAGGAAUCAAAACAUCACGAGGAUAUUAAUAUGUUGCCUAUUAGAAUAGUAUAAACCCAAAUUGAAAAUUGAGAACCUACUGAUUCAAUGGAAAAUUUACGAACUUAAAUAACUAAAACAGAAGCUGGAUACAAACCUAAAACUAGACAGAGUAGAGAGACCAAAAUUAGGGCACAAUCCUCCUUUUUUAUUUUAGGAAUUAAAAUAAAAGUUAAAAUGGACAGAAAUGACUGAACGGACAAAUUAACCUAAUAGGAAGAACCUAUUAUAAUUUCAAUUCAAAGUCAGACCAUUAAAAUACACAAAGUAGAAAAGAAGAAGAUAUAGAGAUGAAAUAGACAUUGAAAAUAAAAGAAAUGCUACAGGGAAACUCACCGACUAAACUCAAAAUUAAAAUCUUAUAACUUGAUUCAUACAAAACUGAUACCAAUCACUUUUUUUUCUGUCGAGAAAGAGCGAAUGGCAUCAAUUUUGUAACGAAUCAGCCUUCCCGAGUCGAUGCAUGCCACCAGUUUUGACAGUAUCGAGUUGUGAGUUUUUAGAGCAUAAAUUUGGAUCUAAUAUUCGAGGAGUUCUAGAAAGAUUCGAAGGAAAGCAUUCUGGGAUUUGUAAGAAGGGGGUCAAGGUGGUCAUAUGGUGUUAUUUUGGGGUUGAUUGGGUAAACUAGGGUUCGGGUCCGAUCUUCGAUCUGAAACUCGAGGGAUUUGGCUAAGAUUCGAAGGCAAUGGCUUGGGGAUUUGAGAUGAUGAGGUGAAGGAGAAUUAAUGGUGUUAAUUUGGGGUUGUUUGGGCCACCGGAACCGCCGUGAGGUGAUUUCUGGUGGGCGGAAGAGGGCGGUGUGCGGUGGUGUAUGUUCUUGGUCUCUGAAGAGACGAGUGGGGGGGG
rnacentral:lncRNA from 1 species